rnacentral:rRNA from 1 species
AGCAGCCGCGGUAAUUCCAGCUCCAAUAGCGUAUAUUAAAGUUGUUGCAGUUAAAAAGCUCGUAGUUGAAUUUUAGGCCUGGCCGGGCAGUCCAUCUUUGGCGAGUACUGUUCUGUGUCGGGUCUUACCUUCUGGUGAACCGGCAUGUUCUUUUAUUGCGUGUGCCGUGAGAACCAGGACCAUUACCUUGAAAAAAUUAGAGUGUUUAAAGCGGGCUUUUGCUUGAAUAGAUUAGCAUGGAAUAAUAAAAUAGGACGUUGGUUCUAUUUUGUUGGUCUAGGACCACCGUAAUGAUUAAUAGGGAUAGUUGGG